AGCGAACGCUGGCGGCAGGCCUAACACAUGCAAGUCGAACGAACCUUUCGGGGUUAGUGGCGGACGGGUGAGUAACACGUGGGAACGUGCCUUUAGGUUCGGAAUAACUCAGGGAAACUUGUGCUAAUACCGAAUGUGCCCUUCGGGGGAAAGAUUUAUCGCCUUUAGAGCGGCCCGCGUCUGAUUAGCUAGUUGGUUGAGGUAAUGGCUCACCAAGGCGACGAUCAGUAGCUGGUCUGAGAGGAUGAUCAGCCACAUUGGGACUGAGACACGGCCCAAACUCCUACGGGAGGCAGCAGUGGGGAAUCUUGCGCAAUGGGCGAAAGCCUGACGCAGCCAUGCCGCGUGAAUGAUGAAGGUCUUAGGAUUGUAAAAUUCUUUCACCGGGGACGAUAAUGACGGUAGCCGGAGAAGAAGCCCCGGCUAACUUCGUG
rnacentral:rRNA from 1 species